GGAUGCGAUCAUACCAGCACUAAAGCACCAGACCCCAACAGAACUUUGAAGUAAAUCGUGCUUGGGCGAGAGUAGUACUAGGAUGGGUGACCUCCUGGGAAGUCCUCGUGUUGCAUUGC